CUACAAUGAUGGUAAUAUUUUUCAUCAACAGAGUUCACCACCUAAUGAGUAUUGAUACUUUAGGUCUGAGUGA